rnacentral:rRNA from 1 species
GGUUAAGUUAGAAAGGGCGCAUGGUGGAUGCCUUGACACUAGGAGUCGAUGAAGGACGGGACUAACGCCGAUAUGCUUCGGGGAGCUGUAAGUAAGCUUUGAUCCGAAGAUUUCCGAAUGGGGAAACCCACCAUACGUAAUGGUAUGGUAUCCUUAUCUGAAUACAUAGGGUAAGGAAGACAGACCCAGGGAACUGAAACAUCUAAGUACCUGGAGGAAGAGAAAGCAAAUGCGAUUUCCUGAGUAGCGGCGAGCGAAACGGAACAUAGCCCAAACCAAGAGGCUUGCCUCUUGGGGUUGUAGGACAUUCUAUACGGAGUUACAAAGGAACGAGGUAGACGAAGCGACCUGGAAAGGUCCGUCGUAGAGGGUAACAACCCCGUAGUCGAAACUUCGUUCUCUCUUGAAUGUAUCCUGAGUACGGCGGAACACGUGAAAUUCCGUCGGAAUCUGGGAGGACCAUCUCCCAAGGCUAAAUACUCCCUAGUGAUCGAUAGUGAACCAGUACCGUGAGGGAAAGGUGAAAAGCACCCCGGAAGGGGAGUGAAAGAGAUCCUGAAACCGUGUGCCUACAAAUAGUCAGAGCCCGUUAACGGGUGAUGGCGUGCCUUUUGUAGAAUGAACCGGCGAGUUACGAUCCCGUGCGAGGUUAAGCUGAAGAGGCGGAGCCGCAGCGAAAGCGAGUCUGAAUAGGGCGUUUAGUACGUGGUCGUAGACCCGAAACCAGGUGAUCUACCCAUGUCCAGGGUGAAGUUCAGGUAACACUGAAUGGAGGCCCGAACCCACGCACGUUGAAAAGUGCGGGGAUGAGGUGUGGGUAGCGGAGAAAUUCCAAUCGAACCUGGAGAUAGCUGGUUCUCCCCGAAAUAGCUUUAGGGCUAGCCUUAAGUGUAAGAGUCUUGGAGGUAGAGCACUGAUUGGACUAGGGGUCCUCAUCGGAUUACCGAAUUCAGUCAAACUCCGAAUGCCAAUGACUUAUCCUUAGGAGUCAGACUGCGAGUGAUAAGAUCCGUAGUCAAAAGGGAAACAGCCCAGACCGCCAGCUAAGGUCCCAAAGUGUGUAUUAAGUGGAAAAGGAUGUGGAGUUGCUUAGACAACUAGGAUGUUGGCUUAGAAGCAGCCACCAUUUAAAGAGUGCGUAAUAGCUCACUAGUCGAGUGACUCUGCGCCGAAAAUGUACCGGGGCUAAAUACACCACCGAAGCUGCGGAUUGAUACCAAUGGUAUCAGUGGUAGGGGAGCGUUCUAAGGACAGUGAAGUCAGACCGGAAGGACUGGUGGAGUGCUUAGAAGUGAGAAUGCCGGUAUGAGUAGCGAAAGACGGGUGAGAAUCCCGUCCACCGAAUGCCUAAGGUUUCCUGAGGAAGGCUCGUCCGCUCAGGGUUAGUCAGGACCUAAGCCGAGGCCGACAGGCGUAGGCGAUGGACAACAGGUUGAUAUUCCUGUACCACCUCUUUAUCGUUUGAGCAAUGGAGGGACGCAGAAGGAUAGAAGAAGCGUGCGAUUGGUUGUGCACGUCCAAGCAGUUAGGCUGAUAAGUAGGCAAAUCCGCUUAUCGUAAAGGCUGAGCUGUGAUGGGGAAGCUCCUUAUGGAGCGAAGUCUUUGAUUCCCCGCUGCCAAGAAAAGCUUCUAGCGAGAUAAAAGGUGCCUGUACCGCAAACCGACACAGGUAGGCGAGGAGAGAAUCCUAAGGUGUGCGAGAGAACUCUGGUUAAGGAACUCGGCAAAAUGACCCCGUAACUUCGGGAGAAGGGGUGCUUUCUUAACGGAAAGCCGCAGUGAAUAGGCCCAAGCGACUGUUUAGCAAAAACACAGCUCUCUGCGAAGCCGUAAGGCGAAGUAUAGGGGGUGACACCUGCCCGGUGCUGGAAGGUUAAGGAGAGGGGUUAGCGUAAGCGAAGCUCUGAACUGAAGCCCCAGUAAACGGCGGCCGUAACUAUAACGGUCCUAAGGUAGCGAAAUUCCUUGUCGGGUAAGUUCCGACCCGCACGAAAGGUGUAACGAUUUGGGCACUGUCUCAACCAGAGACUCGGUGAAAUUAUAGUACCUGUGAAGAUGCAGGUUACCCGCGACAGGACGGAAAGACCCCGUGGAGCUUUACUGUAGCCUGAUAUUGAAUUUUGGUACAGUUUGUACAGGAUAGGCGGGAGCCAUUGAAACCGGAGCGCUAGCUUCGGUGGAGGCGCUGGUGGGAUACCGCCCUGACUGUAUUGAAAUUCUAACCUACGGGUCUUAUCGACCCGGGAGACAGUGUCAGGUGGGCAGUUUGACUGGGGCGGUCGCCUCCUAAAGUGUAACGGAGGCGCCCAAAGGUUCCCUCAGAAUGGUUGGAAAUCAUUCGUAGAGUGCAAAGGCAUAAGGGAGCUUGACUGCGAGACCUACAAGUCGAGCAGGGACGAAAGUCGGGCUUAGUGAUCCGGUGGUUCCGCAUGGAAGGGCCAUCGCUCAACGGAUAAAAGCUACCCCGGGGAUAACAGGCUUAUCUCCCCCAAGAGUCCACAUCGACGGGGAGGUUUGGCACCUCGAUGUCGGCUCAUCGCAUCCUGGGGCUGUAGUCGGUCCCAAGGGUUGGGCUGUUCGCCCAUUAAAGCGGUACGCGAGCUGGGUUCAGAACGUCGUGAGACAGUUCGGUCCCUAUCCGUCGUGGGCGUAGGAAAUUUGAGAGGAGCUGUCCUUAGUACGAGAGGACCGGGAUGGACGCACCGCUGGUGUACCAGUUGUUCUGCCAAGGGCAUAGCUGGGUAGCUAUGUGCGGAAGGGAUAAGUGCUGAAAGCAUCUAAGCAUGAAGCCCCCCUCAAGAUGAGAUUUCCCAUAGCGUAAGCUAGUAAGAUCCCUGAAAGAUGAUCAGGUUGAUAGGUUCGAGGUGGAAGCAUGGUGACAUGUGGAGCUGACGAAUACUAAUAGAUCGAGGACUUAACCAU